rnacentral:rRNA from 1 species
GACGAACGCUGGCGGCGUGCUUAACACAUGCAAGUCGAACGGAAAGGCCCUGCUUUUUUGGGGUGCUCGAGUGGCGAACGGGUGAGUUACACGUGAGUAACCUGCCCUUGACUUUGGGAUAACUUCAGGCAACUGGGGCUAAUACCUGAUAGGAGCUCCUGCUGCAUGGUGGGGGUUGGAAAGUUUCGGCUGUUGUGGAUGGACUCGCGGCUUAUCAGCUUGUUGGUGGGGUAGUGGCUUACCCAGGCUUUGACGGGUAGCCGGCCUGAGAGGGCGGCCGCGGACAAUGGGACUAAGAGACGGCGCAGACGCGAACGGGAGGCAACAGUGGGAAGUAUUGCACAGUGAGCGGGAGCCUGAUGCAGAAACGCCGCGAGCGGGAUGACGGCCUUCUGGGUAUAAACCGCUGUCGCCUGAGACGAAGCGGGAGUGACGGUAAUGGGUAAAGAAGCACCGGCUAACUACGUG